UGGGGGAUAUUGCACAAUGGGGGGAACCCUGAUGCAGCGACGCCGCGUGAGCGAUGAAGUAUUUCGGUAUGUAAAGCUCUAUCAGCAGGGAAGAAAAUGACGGUACCUGACUAAGAAGCCCCGGCUAACUACGUGCCAGCAGCCGCGGUAAUACGUAGGGGGCAAGCGUUAUCCGGAUUUACUGGGUGUAAAGGGAGCGUAGACGGCUGAGCAAGUCUGAAGUGAAAGGCGGGGGCUCAACCCCCGGACUGCUUUGGAAACUGUACAGCUAGAGUGUCGGAGAGGCAAGUGGAAUUCCUAGUGUAGCGGUGAAAUGCGUAGAUAUUAGGAGGAACACCAGUGGCGAAGGCGGCUUGCUGGACGAUGACUGACGUUGAGGCUCGAAAGCGUGGGGAGCAAACAGGAUUAGAUACCC
rnacentral:rRNA from 1 species